rnacentral:rRNA from 1 species
ACGGGUGAGUAAUGUCUGGGGAUCUGCCCGAUAGAGGGGGAUAACCACUGGAAACGGUGGCUAAUACCGCAUAACGUCGCAAGACCAAAGAGGGGGACCUUCGGGCCUCUCACUAUCGGAUGAACCCGGAUGGGAUUAGCUAGUAGGCGGGGUAACGGCCCACCUAGGCGACGAUCCCUAGCUGGUCUGAGAGGAUGACCAACCACACUGGAACUGAGACACGGUCCAGACUCCUACGGGAGGCAGCAGUGGGGAAUAUUGCACAAUGGGCGCAAGCCUGAUGCAGCCAUGCCGCGUGUAUGAAGAAGGCCUUCGGGUUGUAAAGUACUUUCAGCGGGGAGGAAGGCGAUGUGGUUAAUAACCGCGUCGAUUGACGUUACCCGCAGAAGAAGCACCGGCUAACUCCGUGCCAGCAGCCGCGGUAAUACGGAGGGUGCAAGCGUUAAUCGGAAUUACUGGGCGUAAAGCGCACGCAGGCGGUCUGUUAAGUCAGAUGUGAAAUCCCCGGGCUUAACCUGGGAACUGCAUUUGAAACUGGCAGGCUUGAGUCUCGUAGAGGGGGGUAGAAUUCCAGGUGU